GACGAACGCUGGCGGCGUGCUUAAUACAUGCAAGUCGAACGGACAGGCCCUGCUUUUGUGGGGUGCUCGAGUGGCGAACGGGUGAGUAACACGUGAGUAACCUCCCCUUGACUUUGGGAUAACUUCAGGAAACUGGGGCUAAUACCGCAUAUGAGCUCCUGCUGCAUGGUGUGGGUUGGAAAGUUUCGGCGGUUGGGGAUGGACUCGCGGCUUAUCCGCUUCUUGGUGGGGUUGUGGCUUUCCAAGGCUUCGACGGGUAGCCUGCCUGAGAGGGUGACCGGGCACAUGGGGACUGAGAGAGGGACCAGAAGGGUACGGGAGGCAGCAGUGGAGAAUAUUGCACAAUGAGCGGACGCCUGAUACAAAGACGCCGGGUGCGGAAAGACGGCCUUCGGGUUGUAAACAGAUUUCGAAUGUGACGAAGAGUGAGUGACGGUAAUGGGUAAGGAAGCACCGGCUAACUACGUG
rnacentral:rRNA from 1 species